UACGUAGGGCGCAAGCGUUGUCCGGAAUUAUUGGGCGUAAAGAGCUCGUAGGCGGUUUGUCGCGUCUGCUGUGAAAACGCGAGGCUUAACCUCGCGCCUGCAGUGGGUACGGGCAGACUAGAGUGCGGUAGGGGAGACUGGAAUUCCUGGUGUAGCGGUGGAAUGCGCAGAUAUCAGGAGGAACACCGGUGGCGAAGGCGGGUCUCUGGGCCGUUACUGACGCUGAGGAGCGAAAGCAUGGGGAGCAAACAGG
rnacentral:rRNA from 1 species